rnacentral:lncRNA from 1 species
AAUUUAAAAUGUCAAAAUAAAGUAAUUUUGUCAACUAUAUUAAAAAAAUAAAUUUAUCGAUAAUUUUACCAAACUUAAAUAUAACUUAAAUAAAAAUUAAAAUAUCAUAAAUGCCCCUCUAAUUUUGAAAAAUUUUCAAAACUAUCUUUAUAUGUAACUUUUCGUCUAAGAUGAAAUAAACGGUAAGCAAAUUCUUAUUAUACCCCUUAUUCUACUUUUAAUCAAUGUCCUUUGAAUUUUAACUCAUAAAUACAUUUUACUUAUACUUAUUAGUGAAUUAAU